rnacentral:rRNA from 1 species
GAUGAACGCUAGCGGCAGGCCUAAUACAUGCAAGUCGAGCGAAAGAUGUAGCAAUACGUCUUUAGCGGCGAACGGGUGAGUAACGCGUUGGUGACCUGCCUCGAAGCGUGGGAUAACAGUUCGAAAGGAUUGCUAAUACCACAUGUGGUUGCGGAGAUUAGAGGCUCUACAACUAAAGGAGAAAUUCACUUCGAGAGGGGCCUGCGUCCCAUCAGCUAGUUGGUAAGGUAACGGCUUACCAAGGCGAUGACGGGUAGGGGACCUGAGAGGGUGGCCCCCCACAAUGGAACUGAAACACGGUCCAUACACCUACGGGAGGCAG